rnacentral:rRNA from 1 species
CCUACGGGAGACAGCAGUGGGGGAUAUUUCACAAUGGGGGGAACCCUGAUGCAGCGACGCCGCGUGGGUGAAGAAGCGCCUCGGCGCGUAAAGCCCUGUCAGCAGUGAAGAAAAUGACGGUACCUGAAGAAGAAGCCCCGGCUAACUACGGGCCAGCAGCCGCGGGAAUACGUAGGGGGCAAGCGUUAUCCGGAUUGACUGGGUGUAAAGGGGGCGCAGACGGCGAUGCAAGCCAGGAGUGAAAGCCCGGGGCCCAACCCCGGGACUGCUCUUGGAACUGCGUGGCUGGAGUGCAGGAGGGGCAGGCGGAAUUCCUGGUGUAGCGGUGAAAUGCGUAGAUAUCAGGAGGAACACCGGUGGCGAAGGCGGCCUGCUGGACUGCAACUGACGUUGAGGCCCGAAAGCGUGGGGAGCAAACAGGAUUAGAUACCCCAGUAGUC